GCCCCUGUAGCUCAACGGUUAGAGCGCCGGACUCAUAAUCCGUCGGCUGUAGGUUCGAAUCCUACCGGGGGCACCA
rnacentral:tRNA from 1 species